rnacentral:lncRNA from 1 species
GCCUACGCCAGAGCCAGAGCAACGCAGGAUCUGAGCCACGUCUGCGAACGACACCACAGCUCACGGCAACGCUGGAUCGUUAACCCACUGGGCAAGGGGCAGGGAUCGAACCCGCAACCUCAUGGUUCCUAGUCGGAUUCAUUAACCACUGGGCCAUGACGGGAACUCCUCCAUUGUAUAUUCUUGCCUCCUUUGGCAUAGAUGAGUUGACUGUAGGUGCGUGGGUUUAAUUCUGGACUUUCUAUCCUGUUCCACUGAUCUAUAUUUCUGUCUUUGUGCCAGUACCAUAUGGUUUUGAUGACUGUUGCUUUAUAGGAUAGUCUGAAGUCAGGGAGCCUGAUUCCUCCAGCUCCAUUUUUCUUUCUCAGGAUGUCUUUAGCUAUUCUGGGUCUUUUGUGCUUCCAAACAAACUUUAAAAUAUUUGUUUGAGUUCUGUGAAAAAUGUCCUUGGUAAUUUGAUAGGGAUUACAUUGAAUCUGUAGAUUGUCUUGGGUAGUAUGGUCAUUUUGAUAAGAUUGACUCUUCCAAUCCAAGAGCAUGGUGUCUUUCCAUCUAUUUGUGUCAUCUUUGAUUUCUUUCAUCAGUGCCUUACAGUUUUCAGAGUACAGGUCUUUUGUCCCUUUAGGUAGGUUUACUCCUAGGUAUUUUAUUCUUUUGGAUGCUAUGGUAAAUGGGAUUGCUUCCCUAAUUUCUCUUUCUGAUCUUUUGUUGUUAGUGCAUAGAAAUAUAGUCGAUUUCUGUGUGUUAAUUUUGUAUUCUGCGACUUUGCCAAAUUCAUUGAUGAGCUCUAACAGUUUUCUGGUAGAGUCUUUAGGGUUCUCUAGGUAUAGUAUCAUGUAAUCUGCAAAUAGUGAGAGUUUUACCUCUUCCUUUCCAAUCUGGAUUCCUUUUAUUUCUUUUACUUCUCUGAUUGCUGUGGCUAGGACUUGUGAAACUAUGUUGAAGAGUAGUGGCCAGAGAAGGCAUUCUUGUCUUGUUCCUGAUCUCAGCUGGAAUUCUUUCAGCUUUUCACCAUGGAGAACGAUGUUUGCUGUGGGUUUGUCAUAUGCGGCCUUUAUUAUGUUGAGGUAGGUUCCCUCUAUGCCCACUUUCUGAAGGGUUUUUAUAAGAAAUGGGUGUUGGAUUUUGUCAAAGGCUUUUUAUGUAUCUAUUGAGAGGAUCAUAUGGUUUUUAUUCUUCAUUUGUUAAUGUGGUGUAUCACACUGAUUGAUUUGCAGACAUUGAAGAUUCCUUGCAUCCCUGGGAUAAAUCUCAUUUGAUCAUGAUGUACAGUCCUUUUAAUAUAUUGUUGGAUUCGGUUUGCUAGUAUUUUGUUGAGGAUUUUUGCAUCUAUGUUCGUUAGUGAAAUUGGCCUGUAAUUUUCUUUUUUUGUGGUAUCAUCUCAUCCUUCUAAAACUGUUGCAAAAAAUUGCAGAGGAAGAGACACUCCCAAACUCAUUCUAUGAGGCCACCAUCACCCUGAUACCAAAACCAGACAAAGAUACCACUAGUGUUUUUAAACUUUAUGUAAAAAGUAUGCUUUUGUGACAUAUUUUAAAAAACAAUACGUUGGUUAUUUAUCCAUGUUGAGGUCAUGUAGGUUCUGUUCAUAUAUUUGACUUUCUGUGAGGUGUUCCACUAUAAUAUUAAACCACAUUUAACUUAGACUGAUGAACUAUUAGAUUAUUUCUCAUUUUUUACUAUUGCAAAAGCAUUGUAAUGAACACUUUUUCGUGUCUCUUCCUGCCACAUUUGAGAGUUCUCUAGGAUAGAUAUACCUGGAACAGAUGCAAUUGCUGAAUGUGAGCUAUGUUCAUCUUCAACUGUACUAGACAUUGAUUAAUGGCUCCCUAAUUAUGCUAUACUAUUUUUAUACUCUCAGUUGUAAUUUAUUAAUGCAUCCCUUUCCUACAUGCUCACCAACUCCUAGGGUUACCUGGCAUUAUAUAAUAUUUACCAUUCUAGAGGAUGUGAAAGAUAAUCUCACUCUUACAGUUUUAAUAGGCUUAUUUGCCUUGUAAGUUUACUCAUCUAUAAAGUGUCUAUGUGCGUCCUUUGAUCAUUUUUCUUCCAGGUGGUUGGCCUUUUCCUAUUGAUAUGCACAAAUUCAUCUAAAGAAUUAAUCCAAAAUUAAUCUAGAGAAUAAUCCUUUGUUACCUGUAUUACAAAUACUUUUUCCCAAUCAAAUAAAUAAAUAAUAUGCCACAGGUCUGGACUGAAAGAAAAAAUUUUCCUUCCGCUAAGCACUAGAUAUCACAAUUUUUACAGCUUUAACUUUUCUACCAGGAAGACCAGUUGCUAAUACCACCAGAAUUAAUGUGCACAUCAUAUAUUAGAAAUUUGACCUUAUAACCAUUUCUAAUGUUACAUUCAAGAAAGAGAAAGAGUUCACUAUCACUUCUCUCUUUGCCCUCUGUGUCCUCAAAAGUCUUUCACGCAUGUGUGUAAUGUGGAGCUACAAGAUAAAGUGAAAACUUAUCAGCUUUUCUAAGAGAGAUCAUCUUAAGAUAAAGUGAUCAUCUACAAGAUAAAGUGAAAGCUUUUCAGCUUUUCUAAGAGAGAUCAUCUCUAUCCUACUCAAAAGGAGGAGGCUCUCCCAAGUAGAAAAUAGUUUAGAUGUUGUAUGGACGAAAGAAGUAACAAAUUUCCAUCUGAUUGCCUUUUAUUAGCAUUAAUACUUAAAGGCAUCUACAAGCAAGUGAAAAUGAUUCUAGCCCUGCUUUCUUGGAGCUUUUGAUCUAGAAUCAUUUUUCUUUUAAUUGCAAGAAAGAUAAAUAAAAAAAUUUUUCUAUGGUUACAAUGAAUCUUCCAAAGAGAAAAGAUAAAAUCUUCAUAUUCCACUAAGAUGAGCUAUAGAUCAUCUGUAAACUUAUAAAAGUAAAUUUUUCAAAGUACACAGAGAACCAAACACAGCAGGUUUCAUCAUUCUUUUCAUAAAUAAGACACAUUAACAGAUUCCUUCUUAGCAUCAACCACCUGCUAAUCAGACCCUUGCCUUUCUCAUUCACAAAGUCCAAUAAAAAAGAAAAUUGACCUUCUAAAAAUAAAAGACACUUUGGUUAAACACAAACAUGAGUUUAAAUCUUACUUAAAUUUUUAUGGCUUUGAGCUUGGGAAAAAUCACUUAAUCACUCUAAUCUUUCACUUUUUACUUUAAAACAAGACCAUGAAUACUCACUUUGCAAUGUAUUACAAAGAUCCAAGACUACAUAUCCUAAAAUGCCAAUCACAUUUUUUUAAAUUUAAAUGUAACAUUAAGGAGACAAAAUAUCUUCAAGGAAAUUUAGAGUCACAUUUUUUCCCUUAGAGAAUGGAAGGAAAUACAGGUUAAUAUAUUCUGCCAUGGAAUUAUGACUGCCUAGGAAUAAAUACAAGAAGUUUCUCUGCUCUCAGUGUUUCCACAGACCAUUUGAAAACAACUAAGAAUCUGAUGGAUUCAAUUUUUUAGAAAAAGAAACUAAACAAGAAGAAAAUAAAUAACAUUUCUUACAGUUAGAUGAGAAAGACGAGAACUUUUAAAACAUUUCUCUCAUGUUUGUAUAAAACAUUUGGGCUUUGUUAAAAAUAUUUUUUAAGGAAAUCUCUGUGUGACACAGCAGGUUAAGGAUCUGGCAUUGUUUUUGUGGCAGUACAGAUUCAAUUCCCCACCCGGAGCAGUAAGUUAAGGAUCAGGCUUUGUCACAGCUGUGGCAUAAGUCUCCAUGGUGGUUCAGAUUUGACUCCUGGCCUGGGAACUUCCAUAUGCCAUAGGUGUGGCCAUAAAAAUAUAUAUGUAUAUAUUUAUUCAAGUAUGUUCUAGAAUCAUCAGAGUCUACUCUCAAAACCAUAUUUUCUGGGAAAAAGUAGACUGGUUAAGAGUAAUUAUUUUUAAUGUGAAAAUAGCUUCCAUGUCCCUAUCUGUCAGGUACUUCCCAAAUGACGAUUAGAUUUGAAUCAUACCUAUGAGAUUAUAACAUGUAAGCAACCCAAAACAUUUUAAGAAAUUGACUUUGCCAGAAAGUCAUGAUAUGUAAGUGCAAAGUUGAAUGAUAAACUGGCACAUCAGAAUACAUUAUACAUUCACUCAGAUGCCAAAAUACUGCCUCAAAUUCUUUAUUCAGGCAUCAAGAAGCAAGCGUACAAUGUGUCAUUCUAUCAUAUGAGAUAAAAUUUCGGUAUCUGGCCAGUAAAAACUGAGAAAAACUUUUCAAAAAGAAAAGGUAAAAAAGUUUGUAAAUAUAAAAUUUCAAAGUACCUAAACUUUCUAACUUCUACAUUUCUGCUGGUAUAUACUUUAUAAACUAUGCAAGCAAGAAAACAAGGAGCAGCAGUUGAAAGACUGAGGAACCACCUUGUUUUCUAAAAUAUAUAUUUUUUUGCUUCAGCAAUAUGGAUCACCUUUAAAUGUUUUCUGAAAGACCUAGAGAUGAAUUUCUCUUACAGUACCAAUUAAACUCUUCACACUAUUAAAAAGUUAUAUUAAGUAUUUUUUCAAACACAUUGAAAUUUCCUUAACAUGAAAAGUAAACUGGAAACGCUACAAAAAAUCGCUCCCACUUUUCUAACAAAUGUAAUUGUAUCAAAAAUUUGAGUAAAACAAAACUAAAAAAAUUUUUUUUGCUCUUUAGUUCUUUAUGGAGUAUUGUGCCAACACAAAUCCAGGAAGAUUGGAAUUGUUUACUGAAAUCAUUAAGGAACACUCUUCAUCUAUCUUCUAAUUAAUCAAAGGGAAAACUAAGGAACAAGGGACUUGACCAGGGUCAUAUAGCUACUGAGUGGCAGAAAUGAAUCAAGGUUAGAAGCUGAUGUCCUCCUGGUUGGCAACCUGAUACUCAUACAUCUAUAGAAUACUCCCUCCCAGUGGUUGAAAAAGUGGUAUUGAACAGCCACAUAAUAGCAUAUACCAUGAUGAUUUCAAGUCACCAACAGAACUGUACACUAAGUUUUAGCAAUAAAUUUCACAUGCAUUUAUUCAAAGGUAUUUUUCAACAUCUUCCCUAUGCCAGGUCUAUGGUAGGCUGUGAUUAUGCAGUAGCACGAGCC